CCUACGGGUGGCUGCAGUGGGGAAUAUUGCACAAUGGGGGAAACCCUGAUGCAGCGACGCCGCGUGAGUGAAGAAGUAUUUCGGUACGUAAAGCCCUAUCAGCAGGGAAGAAAAUGACGGUACCUGACUAAGAAGCCCCGGCUAACUACGUGCCAGCAGCCGCGGUAAUACGUAGGGGGCAAGCGUUAUCCGGAUUUACUGGGUGUAAAGGGAGCGUAGACGGCAGCGCAAGUCUGGAGUGAAAUCCCAUGGCUUAACCAUGGAACUGCUUUGGAAACUGUGCAGCUAGAGUGCAGGAGAGGUAAGCGGAAUUCCUAGUGUAGCGAUGAAAUGCGUAGAUAUUAGGAGGAACACCAGUGGCGAAGGCAGCUUGCUGGACUGUAACUGACGUUGAGGCUCGAAAGCGUGGGGAGCGAACAGGAUUAGAUACCCGUGUAGUC
rnacentral:rRNA from 1 species